GAGGGUAUAGCUCAGUGGUAGAGCAUUCGACUGCCGAUCGAGAGGUCCCCAGUUCAAACCCGGGUGACUUCU
rnacentral:tRNA from 1 species